GAUGAAGAACGUAGCGAAAUGCGAUACGUAGUGUGAAUUGCAGAAUUCCGUGAAUCAUCAAAUCUUUGAACGCACAUUGCGCCCGCGAGUAUUCUCGCGGGCAUGCCUGUCCGAGCGUCAUUUCAACCCUCAGGGCCCGCCUGCUUCGGCAGGCGCGGCGCUGGUGUUGGGGAUCGGCCUAACCGCCGUCCCCCAAAUACAGUGGCGGUCUCGCUGCAGCCUCCCCUGCGUAGUAGCAACACUCGCAUGCGGAGCGCGGCGCGGCCACGCCGUAAAACCCCCGACUUUCUAAACGUUGACCUCGGAUCAGGUAGGAAUACCCGCUGAACUUAAGCGUAUCAAUAAGCGGAGGA
rnacentral:misc_RNA from 1 species